GACUGUUUGGCGCAAUGGUAGCGCGUGCCCCUCCUAAGGGCAAGGCUGUGGGUUCGAGUCCCAUGACGGUCG